UACGGGGGGGGUAAGCGUUGUUCGGAAUUACUGGGCGUAAAGAGCUCGUAGGCGGCUUGUCGCGUCGACUGUGAAAACUUGGGGCUCAACCCCAAGCUUGCAGUCGAUACGGGCAGGCUAGAGUUCGGUAGGGGAGACUGGAAUUCCUGGUGUAGCGGUGAAAUGCGCAGAUAUCAGGAGGAACACCGAUGGCGAAGGCAGGUCUCUGGGCCGAUACUGACGCUGAGGAGCGAAAGCGUGGGGAGCGAACAGG
rnacentral:rRNA from 1 species